rnacentral:rRNA from 1 species
AUUGAACGCUGGCGGCAGGCCUAACACAUGCAAGUCGAACGGUAACAGGAAGAAGCUUGCUUCUUUGCUGACGAGUGGCGGACGGGUGAGUAAUGUCUGGGAAACUGCCUGAUGGAGGGGGAUAACUACUGGAAACGGUAGCUAAUAACGCAUAACGUCGCAAGACCAAAGAGGGGGACCUUCGGGCCUCUUGCCAUCGGAUGUGCCCAGAUGGGAUUAGCUAGUAGGUGGGGUAACGGCUCACCUAGGCGACGAUCCCUAGCUGGUCUGAGAGGAUGACCAGCCACACUGGAACUGAGACACGGUCCAGACUCCUACGGGAGGCAGCAGUGGGGAAUAUUGCACAAUGGGCGCAAGCCUGAUGCAGCCAUGCCGCGUGUAUGAAGAAGGCCUUCGGGUUGUAAAGUACUUUCAGCGGGGAGGAAGGGAGUAAAGUUAAUACCUUUGCUCAUUGACGUUACCCGCAGAAGAAGCACCGGCUAACUCCGUG